AAUUCUGCUAUCUGCUCCCAUUGUUUUCCCAAACUUCUUUCACGUUAUUUUCUUCUUCGUUCUCCUUCUUGUGUCGUUUUCAUUUUCUUUUCUUGUCUCUUGUUCUUGUGAUUUUAUUUUUGCGUUCUAUCAUCGCUGUUGUUCUGCAUUUUGUCAUGCCGUUAGUCUUUCGAACGAUUUUGGGUAAGUGUUCUUUACUGUGUUGUUAUAAAAGAUUUUGGGGUUUUGAUUUGGGAUUUUUCUUUGUGAUGGGUUUCUAUUAAUGGUGAAAUCUUUCGUUCUAGGAGAGGAACGUAUGGUGUUAGACGAACCUCCAGCGAAUUAAGUCUUCUAGUCAGUUUGGGCUGCUCGCUGCUGUUAUUCAUAUGGUAAGUAUGCGUAUAUGGAAUUUGGGAUUGUUUUCCCUUAAGAAAAAAGUGGAUUUAAUUGGAUUUAGUGUGAUUAAAUCGAAGUUGUAAUCGUUGUGUUUUGGUGUCGUUUGUUGGAUUCAAAGUGAUUGAUUGAGUGGUGAACUAGAAUUAGUACCAUGUGUGGGAAACUAAUCCGAAAUUUCACUCGAAACUCGAGAAAAUUGUGAAACAAUGGCAGUUUUAAAACUGCCCAAUGCCACAAGUACGUGUGUCAGGUAUAUGAUUAAAUAGCUUGUGUAAUAGGCCAUGUGAACACAUGGGCUAAGUUUUUAGGUCAUGUGGGCCAGCCGUAUGGGCCUUUUGCCCCAAUUUUGAGGCUUGAAUAGGGGCCGGUUAAGGGACUCAGAAAUUGGGUCCUUAGACAUUAUGUAGUCCCGAAAAAGCGUAAGUUUCAAAUAGGUAUGUGUAGGAAGCAUAUUAAGUAGGUUUCGGUAAGUAUAUUAAUAUCAUAUGAUAUGAUAUGCUUUAUAAGUAUUUACGUAAACCAUGCAAGUUACAUGAUUUGUGAGUACCUUAUGCUAUGUUAUGUUCCGUAUAAAAAGGUAUGUGUAUGCAUGCCAUACGAUCUAAGUUAUAUGUAUGUACAAUAUUCUGUCUAUGUUUUGGGGUGGGAUUGAUAUGAUGGAGGAAAUGCUACAUGGCAAUAUCUACUGCAAUUAUAGCGGCUAGAUUGCAAAUUUCUUUUUGGUAGCUCAGCUGCGUAUUUAUGAGUGGUGUACUGCCAUGUACUAAUGUGAUUGGACGGAUGAACUCUUGUAGUUUUAAUUGGUGUGGUUGAUUGAAUGGAGAUGGUGUGUAGAGGAUGGAAGUAGGAUGUGGUAUGAGAUGAUAUAUUAUAAGAUAUGUUCUAACAUGAAAUUUGAUAUGAUAUGUAUAAGAUAUGUUUUGAAAUGGAAUCUGAUAUGCUAUGAUACGUUCUGGUAUAUAUUUAUAUUGUUUUGUUUGUGUGGGACAUAUCACACACUGGGCGUAAAGUUCACGUGUUUGUUUGUUUCAUUUCAGGUGAUCUUCAGACUUAGCAUUGGACAGCGAUACAGGACCUCGGUUUCCACGCUUUUGGUUUAGUACGUUCCGGACUGAUAUUUUUUAUGGACUUUUACAGACUUUUGGAACGUUUUAAUUUUGUUUGGGAUUUCAAAUUUUAUUUUGGUGUUUGGUUCUGUAAAAAUUAUGGUUUUUAAUCAGUAUUUAAAACAAGACGACAAAAAAUAAACUAGGGAUAAAUAAGACCAAGUUGCUAAAAGGGUUUCGAAGCCAAAUUUUGUUGAAAUUCGCUAGAAUGUUUUGUUUCGUAAAGAAUUAAGUAAGUUGGAUCUGUUUUAGUAAAAGCUAUUAAAUAGGGGUUUUACCUCAAAAUACUCACGGGUUUUCGAAAAUCGAUACGUUUUCUAUAAGAUAUAUGAAAUUGGAUUUUCUUAAAG
rnacentral:lncRNA from 1 species